AUUGAACGCUGGCGGCAGGCUUAACACAUGCAAGUCGAGCGGGGUGAUGGUGCUUGCACUAUCACUUAGCGGCGGACGGGUGAGUAAUGCUUAGGAAUCUGCCUAUUAGUGGGGGACAACAUCGCGAAAGGGAUGCUAAUACCGCAUACGUCCUACGGGAGAAAGCAGGGGAUCACUUGUGACCUUGCGCUAAUAGAUGAGCCUAAGUCGGAUUAGCUAGUUGGUGGGGUAAAGGCCUACCAAGGCGACGAUCUGUAGCGGGUCUGAGAGGAUGAUCCGCCACACUGGGACUGAGACACGGCCCAGACUCCUACGGGAGGCAACAGUGGGGAAUAUUGGACAAUGGGGGGAACCCUGAUCCAGCCAUGCCGCGUGUGUGAAGAAGGCCUUAUGGUUGUAAAGCACUUUAAGCGAGGAGGAGGCUCUUUUGGUUAAUACCCAAGAUGAGUGGACGUUACUCGCAGAAUAAGCACCGGCUAACUCUGUGCCAGCAGCCGCCGUAA
rnacentral:rRNA from 1 species